CACAAGCGGUGGAGUAUGUGGUUAAUUCGAUGCAACGCGAAGAACCUACCUGGUCUUGACAUCCCGGAGACCCUUAGGAAACUAGGGGGUGCUUCCAUCUGGAAGAAUCUGGAGACAGGUGCUGCAUGGCUGUCGUCAGCUCGUGUCGUGAGAUGUUGGGUUAAGUCCCGCAACGAGCGCAACCCUUGCCUUUAGUUGCCAGCAGUUCGGCUGGGCACUCUAAAGGGACUGCCGGUGUUAAACCGGAGGAAGGUGGGGAUGACGUCAAGUCCUCAUGGCCUUUAUGACCAGGGCUACACACGUACUACAAUGGCCGAUACAAAGGGCAGCGACACUGCGAGGUGAAGCCAAUCCCGUAAAAUCGGUCUCAGUCCGGAUUGGAGUCUGCAACUCGACUCCAUGAAGUUGGAAUCGCUAGUAAUCGUGGAUCAGCAUGCCACGGUGAAUACGUUCCCGGGCCUU
rnacentral:rRNA from 1 species